CCCUGGCCUUGUCCACCAGCACCUCAGUGGUGUAGCUGAAUUUGUACAGCUGGUUGUUGUUCAGACGGGGCCCAGCAGCACCACCUGAAGAAACACGGGAAACACAGCUGAACUAUCCUCUCAGUAUAGUACUGAGGCGAUUGGAUCAGCGGCCGUUUGACUGGGUGUGUUCAAAGUGAGAGAAGAUAAAAAUCUCUCCUCUGCUCCAUUGAUGACGAGCUCUACGUUAGAUAUGACAUUACGCCACGUGUCAGUAUUUGAUUUCAUCACCGGCCGUUGAGGAGCGUGGAGCUGAAUUCAACAAAUAAAAAGCUCUGGGAUGAACAGUCGGCACUUUGUCGUUGUGUCCUGGCUGGAGGAAAUGGGCAGUCUGUCUGUGUGUGAAAGCAGCCCUCUGGCUCAAAUUACAGCAUCCGAGGAGGACCAAAAACUCAGCAGGUUUUCAUCUGAAGAGCAGGAGAUUUUUUAAAGAAAGCACAGACAUGUGUUAUAUGCAAUUAAACUCAAUUACAGCUGUGGAAGAUGCUGCAACUUUAAUCUGUUUAAUCAAAAUUAUUAACAGUGUUACUAGAAUGGUGUUCUAAUCAUCAUGUGUGUGUGUGUGUGUGUGUGUGUGUGUGUGUAGGUGGAUGAGUUUAUGAGGCUGAUUAAAGAUCCCAUCAGCUAAAGUGACCCUUGAGUCUGCCUCUUACAGGAGCCAGUACAAAUGAUGACAGCCUUAAUCAUUUAUUCAUCAGGAGGGGCAGCAGACAUUGCCCUGCUGUCUUUAUUUGGAUGAGAUAGAUGAAUGCUCACUCUAUCAUAACACUGUUGUAUGAUUCUACAGUUUAUCUGAUCUUAUUAUGGUUAGCUCUCAUCUCAUUUGAUGUAAAAGUGUUUAGUACCAAAGCAGCUUUAUGCCUUUUGAUAUAGGUUUGAUGAGACUGCUGAUGUUUUAAUGAUAUUUACAACAGACAAACUCAAAACCACUGAUCCGGCUAGAUUGUAAAUAACAUUGCAACUUUGUUAACACAGAGACGUAGUGGUAUUUUUAACAUCUUUGGACUGUGUUAGUGUUCUCACUUUAAUAUGUUAUCCAUUGGCUUGGUAUGUUCUGUGAAGAUCCAUAAAUAAAACAUUUGUAUUAUUAUUAUUAUUUUAAA